GGGCAUCAGUAUUCAAUUGUCAGAGGUGAAAUUCUUGGAUUUAUUGAAGACUAACUACUGCGAAAGCAUUUGCCAAGGAUGUUUUCAUUAAUCAGGAACGAAAGUUAGGGGAUCGAAGACGAUCAGAUACCGUCGUAGUCUUAACCAUAAACUAUGCCGACUAGGGAUCGGACGAUGUUACAUUUUUGACGCGUUCGGCACCUUACGAGAAAUCAAAGUGCUUGGGCACCAGGGGGAGUAUGAUCGCGAGGCUGAAACUUAAAGAAAUUGACAGAAGGGCACCACCAGGGGUGGAGCCAGAGGGUUAAUUUGACUCUGGACGGGGUGAGGCUCCGGCGC
rnacentral:rRNA from 1 species